ACAUGGCGCCGCCCAGGCCGGCUGGCCGCCGGCCCAGAUAUCGCGAGACCUGACGAGAAAAGGGCUGGCGCCGGCGGAUAAUUAAACAUGUGAGGGGUGGGUCAGGGGCUGGCCGGGCUCGCGCGCGAUUGGCGGCGGGCGGCGCAGCGAGAUUACAGCGUUGGGCCGAGAACGGUGGAGACGCGCCCUGCCCGCGCGGCGUGACAGUAGCUGCAGGGGGCGGGGCGGGGCGAGGCGGGGUGAGGCCCGCCGGGGGAUGCUGCAGCCCGCUCGGAACAAGUCACGCGAGAGCGAAGCCGCUGUCAGGCCUGGCUCAGCAGAAGUUGGGGCUCCCGCGUUGAGCCGGCCCUGCAGAGCCCGGGGGACGUGCCGGGUUUUCCCCAUUUCGCGCUGGCGGGGAAGGGUCGCCAGCUCUGUUCCCCUAGGUGCGAGCCGCAGCCCCGCUGCCGGCCCACGCUUGCGGAGCUGGGGUGAUAAGGGUUGGGAUGGUGACCCAUGGAACGGGAGGGGUCUGGUUUGCAUAGGGGCCAGGACGAGACUCCGGACCUAGGCUGGUGUAACUACCUCACUCAGGGGUGUGAAAAGCCCGCCCCUCUGGGGGACACCGUUAUACCGGCCACUCACCGCGUGUGGAGAGCGCUACGUCAAUGGCAGGGCUUCUGCUGCUGAUCCCGCCCCCACCUCUGGUGGAUUAACUCCACUGGCGGAGGAGAUCUCCCGUCGCCGUACCAGCGUCUUCACUAAAGCACUUCAGCGGGGCAGCUGUAGCAAUGUGGAGGGAGACAAGCCCACUGUUUAUAAGGUGAACGCACCUACGUUGACGAGGGCCAUCACUUGCUGCUGCACGCAGCACCUUCUGGCCCUGGUGUGUGGAUCUGGAAAGGAGCUCUUUGCAGGCCGACUUGCUGUUGAUGCAAAUUUUGAGCUUGCUUUUAAUUAAGUCUAUCCUGCAUCUAUUCCAUUUGUUGGACCAUUUAUACCUCAUUAGAGGAAGAAAUCCUCUCUACAACUGUGUUUUAGCCUGGUGUGCUAAGUGCAGAUGGCACAAUUUAGAACAAGUUUUUCAGAUUUUUUUCCCCACACUUUUAAGUUUUCACUUGCAGAUUUGGAAAUGUCAUUUUCUGAUCUUUCAGUCGCAUCUUGAUUGUUGCAGAAUUCCUUGUAGAGCUGAUCCAUGUUAAUCAUUUCCUUCGUUCUGAGUGCUUCUGUUACAACUCAAGGUUUGACAAACAAAGCUUCUAAUAGAGGCCAAUACCUUCAUCAUUCUGAUGUUAGAAGAGACCCUGAACCAAUUAUCAAUGUACAAAUGCAAAGUCAUAAAACUUAACGAAGUCUUGCUUUACCUUCACUUUUUGUUGUGGUAGUAGUUUUUCCAUCAGUUGUUUGGCUUUGAAUAAAAAAACAAAAACAAAAAAAACAGUCUUCUUUAGGUUCGGCAUCUUCAUCUUAACAUGGCACAUCUAUAUACACAUCAGUAAUGCAUAGACUGGAUUCCUUCAACUGAGUUGAAGACACAAGCCAAAUUGUGAAAAAACCAUAUGUAAAUGUCCAUAAUGCAGGAAUACUCACCAUCGUUGGUGAACAUUUUCUUUUAAGCUAGUGGGCAAGACUCCCCUAGUGACUUGAUGUUGGCUUCAGUUGCUUGCCAGUUUCUCAAAAGUCAGUUGACUGCUGGGUUAAGGGAUAGCCAACUUCUAUUCACAUAUCACUGUACUUCUUUCCAUUCAAUUUCAACAAAGAAAAAAAACUGAAUUCUUUGAGCUUUGUGGGGACAGAAAAAUGGUUGUAAAUUUUCGAUAAAAUCAUUUUUGUUUCAACUGAUAGCCAAUCACUCACAUUUGCAAGUAUUGUGGGCUGUGUGUAUGGGGAAGUUCAUCUCAGAAUGCAAUCAUUUUCAGCACAUAACAACUGGUACACCAAGUUGUGUUUACCAUAGUUCAUAUUUGCAUUAUCAUCAGAGUAUGCAGUAACACAAUUAAUGUUUAUCUGGUGUUUAUCUAGGCUGGUCUUUAUAACACAAGGAAUGCCUCUUGCAGAUUCAUCAUAGUCUUCAUAAAAAUUGAGCAACUUGACUGAACACCAUGUGAUAUGGCCCAGGACUGUCUGAAGUUCCCACUAAUAUUGCAAGGCAGCCAAGCUGCUGCAUCUGGUCCCACUGGACCUUUCUUCUUGUGGGUGGCUCCUCCCAUAGAUACAGAGCUGCAGGAACUGAGCCUGGACGUGACAAGUUGGAACGCUCACCGCACUGUCCUGGCCAGAUUCCAAUGUGGAGAAUUACAUUCGGGGUCCCUAAAUCUGCUCCUUCCUCCCCUCUGCUGGAGUUGCUAUUGCAUAAUUAGCUUCCCGUUCACAUCCCGUCCUAAAUCACUAUAUGGUAUUCUAGCUGAACGGCUGACAUGUUCCACCCCAGAGCAGAUGCAGUUUGAAGGUGAACAAAAUCCUUCCUGAGACAAACCCCAAUGCCCGCUUUUCAGGAGAAACUUCCACUGAGGCCGAUGAGAGUUUUCACUGAGUGGCGGUUAUAGAAUGGUACUGAAACCAAGGUCGGAAAAGACCUUGAAAUCCUCCAGAAUGGCAGGCACAGGGCAUAUGUGGAGCUUAGGAAAGGGACUCUCCUCUACCCUUCCCAGCUGAAGAGCUGCUGGAGCCACUCAAAUUUGGCUGUCCACUCUCGGUCCAUCUACAAAUGGUGUUGUAACUUAGUGCACGGGUUGAAAUAUGGGAUAAAAGGAGUCCUGUACUGAUUUAGUAUUGGGCAGCCAAUUUUUCAUUAAAAUUACAGAUGGCCCUUACAACACAGGUCUGUUGGGAACCCAACCCUGGGAGAGGCAGGGAAGCAGGUGCUGCCCCCAAGGGUGGGAGGCCAUGGGACAGGGUUGUUGCAGAGCAAGCUGGGACUGAGAGGUGGCUGGGCCAAACCUGAGCAGUGCUGCCACCCCAUGCGCCAAGUCACAAUUCUCGGAAUGGGAAGCCAGGCCCAGUCCCACAGCACAGGAGCUGCAGAAACUGCUGCUGUAGGAUGAGUUUUAAGUCAUUUUAUACAAUCUCUUAUUUAGUGUUAUUUUGCAUUUGUGGAAAACAUUGGGGGCUCUAGCUGCAGUAAUAAUAUUUGUCCUCCUACUUAUGUUGUGUGCUGAAUGGGGCCAAAGCGUUUGCAUAGGCAAAGAGUCAUCAUGAGGUUCUUGCUAUUGCAGGGUGCGUGGUGGCCACCUAGGCCCAAAGACAUAAAGAACAAUUGUGUGAGAAAUACAGGAUACGGUUUAAUUUCUAAACGGCAUCAGCCCACGCUGUUUUAUUCUUGAUAUAGAUCCAUACAUAGCACUUGUUUGUCAGACUGUGAGCCCUAUGGGGUAGGAACUGAUCCUUUUGGCUUCUCUGGCAUGUGCCUCACACUUUCUGCCACUGGGGUUUAGGUUCCUGUUAAAACCGAGGCAAGUUAAUUAGUCCCACAGUGAAUCAGCAGCAAAGCCAGGAUUAGGUAUUAAGAGUUCAUGCCUUGCUCAGGCACUUAGCCAAAGGGUUUUGACAUGUUCACACUGUGUGGACCACAUCUUAAAAGGAAAGUUUGUCUUGUUGAUCCACGUCCUCUUCUAUGCAAGAGCGCACAGACCACUUCCUUUCCUAUUCAUGUGGCAACUACAGCAAUUGAUUACAUGGAAAAGUAAUAUUAGGAAAGCAUUGAAUAUAUAUUUUAGCUUCUUUUAAUGUGAUUUAGCAGCUGGAAACAAGGAAAGCUGGUAUUGUGUCAUCAGCCAGUUCUUUUCAAACAGCUGUUUAAGAACUAGUGCAUUAAACAAUGGUCUGAAA